rnacentral:rRNA from 1 species
CGCCUCUUGACUCUUAUAAGAGGUCCAGCCUGCCCAGUGACCAUGUUCAACGGCCGCGGUAUCCUAACCGUGCGAAGGUAGCGUAAUCACUUGUUCUUUAAAUGCGGACUAGUAUGAAUGGCACCACGAAGGUUAUACUGUCUCCUUUUUCUAAUCAGUGAAACUAAUCUCCCCGUGAAGAAGCGAGGAUAUACCUAUAAGACGAGAAGACCCUAUGGAGCUUUAAACAACACAGCAAUUACCUGCUAAACUAAGAAGUUUCUGAACAUUUUCAAUCUUUUAAGUAAUCUGACUGCAAGUUUUUGGUUGGGGUGACCACGGAGCAUAACACAACCUCCAUGUUGAAAGAAUUCUUUCUAAGCCAAGAACAACCUUUCUAAGCAUCAAUAUAUUGACAUCCAUUGACCCAAUACAUUUGACCAACGAACCAAGUUACCCUAGGGAUAACAGCGCAAUCCACUUCAAGAGCUCCUAUCGACAAGUGGGUUUACGACCUCGAUGUUGGAUCAGGGUAUCCCAGUGGUGCAGCCGCUACUAAAGGUUCGUUUGUUCAACGAUUAAAACCCUA